rnacentral:lncRNA from 1 species
CAGGUAAAUAAAAAUGUCCGCAUGCCAAUCGAAAGUAACAAAAGUGUGACUCGUUGCGUGGUGCAGGUGAUAUCAACAUGACUCUCUCUAUAAUAUAGUCGAGAAGUGACAUCGACGCGCGAACAGGCGAGAUCUUAAGCUUCGCGGCUACUUCAUCGGGAACUUGACUAAAACUCCUGAAACUACGGAUUAUUACCGCCGACUGCAGCCAUUUUAUUCUCCGCGGAGGUCCAGGGGAGGAUCGUAAAGUGUCAUCCGACCGUCGCGUGGCGAAUGCGUCCGUGCAGCCGUGAGCGAGCCGGCGGACGGACAGGUGCACCAACUCAACGACGCUUCAGGUAUAAGUCCGCUUUAUACUUCAGAACCGAGAUCCAGCAGCUGGGAAGUGA